rnacentral:rRNA from 1 species
CCUAGUAAGCGCGUGUCAUCAACUCGUGUUGACUACGUCCCUGCCCUUUGUACACACCGCCCGUCGCUCCUACCGAUUGAAUGAUCCGGUGAAGUGUUCGGAUUGCGUCGACGAUGGCGGUUCGCCGCCGUCGACGUCGUGAGAAGUUCAUUGAACCUUAUCAUUUAGAGGAAGGAGAAGUCGUAACAAGGUUACCGUAGGUGAACCUGCGGUAGGAUCAUUGAUAGC